rnacentral:rRNA from 1 species
GAUGAACGCUGGCGGCGUGCCUAAUACAUGCCAGUCGAGCGAACAGACGAGGAGCUUGCUCCUCUGACGUUAGCGGCGGACGGGUGAGUAACACGUGGAUAACCUACCUAUAAGACUGGGAUAACUUCGGGAAACCGGAGCUAAUACCGGAUAAUAUAUUGAACCGCAUGGUUCAAUAGUGAAAGACGGUUUUGCUGUCACUUAUAGAUGGAUCCGCGCCGCAUUAGCUAGUUGGUAAGGUAACGGCUUACCAAGGCAACGAUGCGUAGCCGACCUGAGAGGGGGAUCGGCCCAACUGGAACUGAGACACGGUCCAGACUCCUACGGGAGGCAGCAGUAGGGAAUCUUCCGCAAUGGGCGAAAGCCUGACGGAGCAACGCCGCGUGAGUGAUGAAGGUCUUCGGAUCGUAAAACUCUGUUAUUAGGGAAGAACAAAUGUGUAAGUAACUAUGCACGUCUUGACGGUACCUAAUCAGAAAGCCACGGCUAACUACGUG